AACCUGAUAAUUUUCCCUGCGAGUUGUCUCCCGAGGGUCCGCUGACGUCCUUCUCGCGAUCGGCCGAAUCCCUGCGGAUCGUCUUGGUGCCUCUGCUCGUUUUUGUGGCCGUCUUCGAUUGGGAGGGACCGACCGUUGCUCCGGCAUUUCCCUCAUCCGCUGAAGUUUUCACUUUGCCCGUGGUGCUCUCGCACGGACCCUUCUUCUUGCUUUUUCGCAACGUCAUGUUGUACGAAACGACAAACGAGUUUUCCUCUUUUGAAGAACUGCAAGUUUGAACACUUCACGACGAACGCACGACUAUUACCGCCAAAACCGAGGUACGAGACUAGGAGUAGAUUCGGAGCUGGACGACCCACCGAAAUCUAGAAGUGACCGUGAAAGAGAAUGAAAAUCACGGCACGCAAUCGACGAAGUAUCCGAGAUGAUGUACCGCGAAUCGAACGACCGAGACGUAAAAUAUGCUGCGGAGCGGAGGACCAGGGGGUUGAAAGAUUGGAGGCGAAGGG
rnacentral:misc_RNA from 1 species